AAACACUAACAACCACCCCCUCUUCCCCACUCCACUUCCGCCACCGCCGCUGCCGCCGCCACUUCGACUCGCGUCCUCGGCCGCGCCGCACCGCGCCGCGCCGCACCACUCCGCGCCCGGGCGGGCCGGGGCCGGCAGCAGGCGGUGGCGGCUCUCCUUUGCGCCCUUCUCCUCAGAGCGACUGCGGAUGUUGCCCUUUUUUCCCGAUCCUGCGGAGCGGCGUUUUCGCUGCGGCACGGGCGGGCCGGCUUUCCGCGGUCUUUAUUUUCCUGGAGGCCGAUCGGAGCGGGGCCCGAGUUCGGUGAUGGUCGUGUGCGUGAGGGGCGCUCAGGCCCGACCCGGCUCGCAGGCCAAGCUCGCUAUCCCAGCUGGUGGUCAUUAGCUUAGGGAGCCGAGCUCGGGGCGGCCAGGUAGAGGACGCCCGCGAUUCGACGGCGACGGUGCAUUUUUUAAAUGGUGUCUCUGCAGUCUGGUGGAUGGAUGUAUCCUACACCUUCUCUCCUGUGGAGAGGCUGGACUCUACGCCCGUCUCUGCGUUAUUUCUGCGGAGGGAAAACGCAACCCGUGGAGAUCCUGCAAUGGCAUGCAUCUGGCCGAGAGGAAAAGCCAAAGUCUUGACCGUGGCCUAAGUACCGCGCGCGGGUGGGGGAGAAGCUGCCCUGACAUUCUUGCAAGCAGGACCUCUGCCCCUGCUAUUCCCUGUGCCGGGCUCUUUUCCCCAAGAAUCCAUAGGGCUUGCUCCCUCACCUUCAGGAUUCUUCUCGGACGUCACCUCGCUCCCCCCCCGAAACUGCAAGUUCCCUGUCCCCCUUUCCCACUUUAUCGUUCAGGCAUUUUACAUAUCUUACGUGUGGAUCUUAUUACCUGUUUUUCCCCCGGUAGAAUGUUAAGCUCCAGGAGGGCAAGAAGUUUUGUUUUUCUCCACUGGGAUUUUGUGGAGAAAAAAAUGUCUAGACUAAUGCCUGACAGACACAGUGGAUGCUUAAUAUUUGGUUAAUGAAUAAAUGGCAAUUAUAAGGGCCCUGACCUCCUCCCUGCACCCCCACAGCCAUUUCUGAACUCUAGCCUUUAAUAUAUACACUUAUAUGCUACAGAGAACCUUAUGAAAGAUUGUGAAAAUGAAAAAAAAUCUAGGAAAAAAUCGAGUUUAUUACAGAGUUCUAGAGAAGUGCACUACUUCUAGACAUCCACCCUCCACAAUACUAGAAGCCCACGAAGUAGUGAUAAUUGUUUUUAGGUUUCUGUAAAUGGGCUUGCUAGAGGACAGUUGAUCGGUAGAUCACAUGAUCAUAUUCAUACUGGGCCACUUAGCUUUGUUCUCUUCCUGAAUCACAGACUACAUUCUUUAUCCCGUUUGCCCUCUUUCUUGCAAAAUACAGGCUAAAUUAAAAGUCUGUGAGAAUUUGGUUGGCCUAGCCCAAAUCCAGCACUACUGGAAAAGUUCAUUCUGCAAGUAUUUAUUGGGCACAAAAUAUGUGCCAAGCACAAUGAUUCAAAAGGUGCAUGUUUCUGAGGCUUUAUAUAAAGGACCACAUAUGGCUACUUUGGUUACUAUUAAGUUAUGCUGUCAAGCAAAGCAAAUACUAGUGAGAUUUAUUUUUAGAGUUUCUUCCUGAAGACAAGACUCAGUGAAAGCUUAGGUCAUGCAGAGUGGAUAUUUUAAUUCACUAUUUAGUUAGUUCAUAACAUUUACUUACCUUUUGAUAGCACUGGAUAUACCAAUAAAUUGAUAAUGAUUUUUCAAAACAAAUUGAGAAUUUUUAUUUCCUAUUAUUGCCUUGGAAAAUAGGCCUUUUAAAUAAGGACUUACACCAGUAUAGAAACUAUGCAAUAAGAUUUUGGCCAUGAAAGUCCAAAUAAUAUUUCAUGUAUUGAAUUUUUUGGAGAAGAAAGUCUUUAUAACCAUUAAUACAAAUAGUUAUAUCUUGUAUAGUAAAUCCGACAGUCUGUUCAUUGUAAGUUUACCCAUUAAUUUUAAGAACAGCUCUAAGUAAUAUACAGAUGGCUCAGAAUAUGUUUUUCAUUCAGUUUCAAAAUAGUAUCAUUUCAGUUUGCUUAAGGAAACACAAUUAUCUUCCUAUAUACUUUCUUAAAUGUUACUGGUAAACUAGUGAUUCUGCAUGUUUAGGGAACAAAAGUCUUGGCAUUAUUGUAGCGUUUAAUUUAAAAUUUUAGAGAUGUUAUUUUUCACCUCCCUCAUUUAUUAAAGACUUACUAGCUGCUAAUUAGCUUUGUGAUAAGCAUCUCUUAAAUACAUUAGUGAAGGAGGAUAGACAAGGUCUCUACCUUUAAGGGUGAAUAUUUUUCUAUUAAAUCAAUUAGUGUUUUGCUUGCCUAAUUUUAAGUAUCCACGUUGAGAUCUUGUGUGGAAUCUCUUAAUCUAAUCUUAGUGUUUUCUUGAUUUGUCUUGUUUCUUGGGUUUUUUGGGGGGGUGGGGUUGCUUAUUUUGAUCAUCACCAUCCAUUUAUUUUGCUUUUACAUUUUUAAAUCUUUAUGUCCCAAAUCAGUUGAUUUAUGGUGGCUUUAUAUUUCAUUGUUAUAUCCUUGAUUUGUCAAUAGUUUGUAGAUAACCCUUAAUCUGACCUAAUAGUGCCCCCUUUAAGUACUGAGUUGCACUAAUUUUAUUUAUUUUCUAUUCCUGGAUAUUCCCAUAUGUAUUCUUGAUCAAUAAAUUGCAUAAGAUUUAAUAAAAUAUUUUAAAAUGGAUUUCAAGGAUUAAAUAUAGAAUGUCAGCAGGAAUUGGUGCAACUCACAAAUUAUGAAUUGUUAUUUUUAAAAAAUAUUUAUCUUCAAAAUACAGUUUGCCAUAAAAUGAUAGAAAUGAAAAAUUUUAGAAAAUCAUUUCCACACUAUUUUAUGCCUACCAGUUGUAUCCUUUGUUAGUGAGACAAUUAACUCUUAACAGGAACAAAUGUUUAAAAGAUAGGAAAAAAGUAAAGAACAGGUAUGUAUAUGUUUUGUAGACUAUUUCAUACUCUACUAAAAUGAUUUCAUAUUUAGGAAGUUGUUACUUUUAGGGUGAUUUUGAUCUUAAGAAACUUUGAUGAAGCGUUCAUUAUAGAUGUUGAUUUGAGUGUGAGCUACAAAAAUAUCAACAGUCUGUAAAUAGGUUCCUGUUAAGUGAAUACCUAAUCAAAUUUGUGAUAGUAUCUAUGAAGGUGUUAUUCAAUGUAUUUUAUCCAUUUUUGUUAAGAUGAUAGAAAUUAAUGGUUUUUCCCCCGUCAAGGACUUUCUUCAUCUUGGCCUUCAAAAACAAGUUUUGUUCUUUCAUUAAUCCUUCUUAUCUCUCUAAGGAUUUUCUCUAAAUUCAUAGAUUUUAUUAUUCAUGCCAUCUACUUACAAUCCUAUGACUUUCCUAUAUUUACAUUUUUGUAUAUCUGUACUUUAUAUUCCUAAAUAAAAGCACCUAAUUAUACUGUAUUACAGGUUACACUGCAUUACAUAGGGUAAGGCCCUUAAAAAAGGCAUUUCUGAAAUAUUUCAAUAUAAUUAUUUAGGGUCCUUAAAUCUUCAUGAAAGCUUAAUCUUAAUGGAACCUACACAUACGCUGAAUGUGAACCGGAAAAUUAAGCUGUACAUGUAUUUUAAUCCUAAACCAGUCUGGAAUAACAGAUUAAAAAUGACUUUAUGUAUGAGGGAAGAAUACAAAAUCCAUUAAAAACUUAACAUCUAAAAUAGGUAUGAAGGGAGUGCUUAUGAUGCUCUUAAAAGCAUCUCCACUAGACCAGUGCUUUAAAACUGGGUCAUGUACCAUUAUGGGUCAUGAAAUUUAGUGGGUUGGGACUAACAUUUUUUAUUUAAAACAGAGGAAAGAAUAGAAUCUGGAUUCUAUAAUAAUAAGCACAUCACACAUGGUAAAGUGUAUUUUUAAGUAAACAUUCGUUCCAUUUUUGCGUGUGCAUGUGCUGAGUUACCAUGUAAACUCUAUUUCUUACUAUGGGUUAUAGGCCCAAAAAAGUAGGUUUUUAAAAAAACCUACAGUUCAGGUUUUUUACUUGUACUGCCCCUCCUUAAAAAAAUGAAGAAUGCUAGAAAAUUCUGCCUAUGUAGUGAGGAAUUUUAGAGGAAGCAGUAGGGUAUUUUAGAGGAGGUUUGAUACUGUUUUCAGAGAGGUGAUCUUAAGUAGGUAAUAAACUAUGUAGAAAUGUUAAAUAUAGUUGAAGUUGUAAAAAAGAAUUUCCUAGUAGAGCUAAAUUUGUUGUGUUUAGAUCUAUGACUAUUUACUUACUUAUUUGUCUUAGUACAUUUUCUAAUCUCAAAUGCUGAAGACAGCAAAAUAGUAAAUAUAAGGCAAAAGAUACGUUUGUUUCCUCCCACCUUCUCUUUAAUCUUAAAGCAAGUGUUUAUUAACUAGUGAUAGGAAUGCAAAGAAAACUGCUACCUUCACACAGCAAUUACAAAGAACAAGUUAUUCUCUGAAAAUGAUAGAAACUCCUCUUCCCUCCGAAAAGUAACAAAACUGUCAAUAAGGCUUUUCUUUCUAGCCCAAGUAAAUAAUUUCCUAAAUAGCUAACCUUCAUUUGCCAUCCAGCUCACUCUAUAUAUUUAAAUAAAUAUACUUAAAAUUGUGUACAGAAUUUAAAAGGGGGAAAUUUUAAAAGCAGAGUAUUGUGUAUAGAAUUUGAAAGAGAGGCGAUAUGCUGUAUAAAUGAGAUGAAAAAUAACUACCAAACAGAAAAUAACGAUUAUGUUAUACUGGAAUGUCUUAAUAGGAUUUAGACAUUUCAAUAAAAUUUAAAACAUUUCAUUA